AAAACGUGGCAAAUUGGUCUUGUUUAGUGUUGGACUGAGAAUCCAAAGAUUCUGGGUUCGGAUCCCUGACGUUCUG
rnacentral:tRNA from 1 species